rnacentral:rRNA from 1 species
UACAGAGGGGGCAAGCGUUAUUCGGAAUUAUUGGGCGUAAAGGGCGCGUAGGCGGCAUGGCAAGUGGAUGGUGAAAUCCCUCGGCUUAACCGAGGAACUGCCGUCCAAACUGCUUCGCUUGAGACCGGGAGAGGUGAGCGGAACUUAGGGUGGAGCGGUGAAAUGCGUUGAUAUCCUAAGGAACACCCGUGGCGAAAGCGGCUCACUGGGUCUCUUCUGACGCUGAGGCACGAAAGCUAGGGGAGCGAACGGG